UACGUAGGUGGCGAGCGUUGUCCGGAAUUACUGGGCGUAAAGGGCGCGUAGGCGGGUCAGCAAGUCCGGGGUGAAAGCUUUCGGCUCAACCGGAAAAGGGCCUUGGAUACUGCUGGUCUGGAGGAAGGUAGGGGCGUGUGGAACUUCCGGUGGAGCGGUGAAAUGCGUAGAUAUCGGAAGGAACGCCGGUGGCGAAAGCGACACGCUGGACCUUUUCUGACGCUGAGGCGCGAAAGCCAGGGGAGCAAACGGG
rnacentral:rRNA from 1 species